rnacentral:rRNA from 1 species
GUGAGGAAUAUUGGUCAAUGGGCGAGAGCCUGAACCAGCCAAGUAGCGUGCAGGAUGACGGCCCUAUGGGUUGUAAACUGCUUUUAUACAGGGAUAAAGUCGGGGACGUGUUCCCCGUUUGCAGGUACUGUAUGAAUAAGGACCGGCUAAUUCCGUGCCAGCAGCCGCGGUAAUACGGAAGGUCCGGGCGUUAUCCGGAUUUAUUGGGUUUAAAGGGAGCACAGGCCGAUUAUUAAGCGUGACGUGAAAUGUAGAUGCUCAACAUCUGAACUGCGUCGCGAACUGGUAGUCUUGAGUGAGUUCGAUGUGGGCGGAAUUCGUGGUGUAGCGGUGAAAUGCUUAGAUAUCACGAAGAACUCCGAUUGCGAAGGCAGCCCACAAGGCCUUUACUGACGCUAAAGCUCGAAGGUGCGGGUAUCGAACAGGAUUAGAAACCCUAGUAGUCC